AGCAUAUCAAUAAGCGGAGGAAAAGAAACCAACAGGGAUUGCCUCAGUAACGGCGAGUGAAGCGGCAACAGCUCAAAUUUGAAAUCUGGCCUCUUUGGGGUCCGAGUUGUAAUUUGUAGAGGAUGUUUCGGGUACCGCCUCGGUUUAAAUUUCUUGGAACAGAAUGUCAGAGAGGGUGAGAAUCCCGUCUUGGACCGGCGGUAGGGCCCAUGUGAAACUCCUUCGACGAGUCGAGUUGUUUGGGAAUGCAGCUCAAAAUGGGUGGUAAAUUUCAUCUAAAGCUAAAUAUUGGCCAGAGACCGAUAGCGCACAAGUAGAGUGAUCGAAAGAUGAAAAGCACUUUGAAAAGAGAGUUAAACAGUAUGUGAAAUUGUUGAAAGGGAAGCGCUUACAACCAGACUUGCGCGCGGCGGUUCCCCCUUCCUUUUGGUUGGGCUACUCCGUCGUGUCCAGGCCAACAUCGGUUCUGGGGGUCGGUUAAAGACCUUGGGAAUGUACCUACCCUUCGGGCGUAGACUUAUAGCCCAGGGUGUCAUGCGACCUCCCGGGACCGAGGAACGCGCUUCGGCUCGGAUGUUGGCGUAAUGGUUGUCAGCGACCCGU
rnacentral:rRNA from 1 species